rnacentral:rRNA from 1 species
AACGAACGCUGGCGGCAGGCCUAACACAUGCAAGUCGAGCGAAAUCUUCGUGUCUAGCGGCGGACGUGUGAGUAACGCGUGGGAAUAUGCCUCUUGGUACGGUAUAUCCUCGUUAAACUGGACGUAAUACCGUAUGUGCCCUUUCGGGGUAAGAUUUCUCGCCACGUGAUUAGCCCGCGUUGGAUUCGGUAGUUGGUGGUGUAAUGGCCUAUCAUGCCGACGAUCCAUAGCUGGUUUGAGAGGAUGAUCAGCCACACUGGCACUGAGACACGGCCCAGAAUCGGACGGGAGGGAGCAGUGGGGAAUAGUAGACAAGGGGGGCAAAUGCGAUCUAGCCAUGUGGGGUGAGUGAGGAAGGGCGUAGGGUUGUAAAGCCGUUUGAGAUGGGAAGAGAAUGACGGUACCAGCAGAAGAAGCACCGGCUAACUACGUG